rfam:Achromobacter piechaudii ATCC 43553 genomic scaffold SCAFFOLD1, whole genome shotgun sequence.
AUUGGACCCGGCUUGCCGGGUGGCUCGGCCGGGCGCCUAUCCCUCGGACAACU